CUCUUCCUCCGCCCGCCGAUUGUUUCGCCGCCAAAACCGCUCCCUCCAAGUGUCUACUCCCCCCUCGUGCCAUCGUCCCGCCGCUAGCGAUUUUGUGCCGUGUGAUCCUGCUGGGACGCCGCACGAUUCUGCCGAGCGAUCCCAGAAACCCUCGCCUCCCCCCGCAUGCCUCCCGCCGCCCUCCCCCUCGCGCCGCCGCAGCCCACGGGCGGGUCCGCCCUCGCCACCCACGCACGGCCAACCCAUGCUCUCCUAGGCCCGAAUGCGACGCCCUCCACCGACCUCCCCGACGUCGCGGCGCGGAUGCGGCCACGGAGCCCGCGGAUCCAUCGAGCCGCCGCCGCCGCCAUGGCCAAUGCACGCUCCACCCUUCUGCGGAGCCGCCGAUGCCUGACUCCCGCCGUGGCCGCGGAUCCGUGGAGCCGCUGCCGCAGCCGAUUCCUGCCGUGGCCACGGAUCCAACGGCGUCCGCUUCCCGGCGGCGCAGUGCUCGUCCUCCACUCCAAUGGCGACCUCCUGCCUCCUGGUUUUCCUCUGCCUCGCCGCCGCCGUCGCAUCACCGGUUGUCCGUCGCGUCGUUCCCCGCGAUCGUCGUCCUACCAAGAAACAAUGUGAACCGUGCGAUUGCAUCUUCGGGUAAUCCUCCCGUCCACCUUCCCCAAGCCCCAACGUCGCGUCACCGCCCAUUCCCCUGCCACGGCGGUGCCGCCGCCUCCACCGCCCCGACGAUGUGCGCGGUGGAUCCGCGCCCCCAACAGUGGUGCCGCCGCAGCCUGGCAACGCGCGAUGCGGAUCUACGACCAUCCGGUACGGACCCGCAACUAAGGACGCCCCGCAGCGACGCUCACGCCGUGGAUCCACAGCCAGUGCCGCCUCCGGCGCUCAUCCGUGCACGCCGCAAUUUUGAACGCCCGCGUGCCGCCGCACGACGAACGGGCAGCUGCUUGCUAUGGUCGAUUUGCCUGUGUGCUACUCUUACUUCUUCUCUUUGUUUCUCCGUGUGAUUAAUCUUGUUGUUCGUUUCUCACUCUCUUUUACUCCUGCAAAGCCCUGGCUGCCGAGAGUGAUUGCAUUUUUUUUCAGCAAGUUCAUGCUGGAUUAGCAGCUAUUGCCACUCCUUCCUUAGUUUCUUGCUCAGCCUCCAGGGUUUGGGCUACUGCUUACCUGUACAUUAAUCUUAUAUGUUGUUUCGUUUCAGGUUCAGGCUGCUGCAAAGGGGACAACGACCUAGGCAAGGGAUGACACCUUGAUUUUUCACCAAGCUGGUCUUGUGGAAUGACGUGAUCCGAGAUGCUCUGUAAGAGAUGAAAUGGUCAAUAGGUGCUUGGAAGCAGCAGCAAUAUACACAUCAAGAUUUAAGCCUGCCCAUUACUGAGGAUCAUGAACCUGGGCUGUCUACAUGAUAUGUUGUGAGUUUUUCUAUGACGUUGAUGGUUGAAACUUAUCCUCGUCAGUUAUGGAACAUAUAAAGGUUGGUUACGCUAGGCUGAUGUGAUUUCCUUUGAUGUACCUGUUCCUAUAGGAAUUAUGUCCUCUGGUCCUGCAGUCCGGAAGAAACGUCAACAAGCUGGCCAAGUGCAAGGAAUUCCUUAAGAACUACGCAGGCCUGAAGGAAAUUAAGAAGAAUGCAAAACAGUGCCAAAAAUGCAAGAUGGCUACAUCUAUGAAGGAGGCAAUGAGAUGGGUUGCAUGAACUAUCAAUACAACCAUCGGAAUUACACACACUAAUUUUUGACACUCAACUUGUGGAUGUGAGACACAAUUUGAUAUAAUGGUUUUAUAAUUUAAAUUUGAAGUUGAAUGUGGUAUUUGAAAUUCUAAAUUUUAAACGUGGUUGUAUAGCUUAAUGCUGAACUUGCCCGUAUGAAGGUGUGUUUAUUGCA